rnacentral:tRNA from 1 species
GCGUUGGUGUAGAGCAGUUUCAGCUCGGGGUCCGUGACGAGCACUGCGCGCGUGGUGCGAUCCGCGAUCGAUGUG